rnacentral:rRNA from 1 species
UACAGAGGAGCCAAGCGUUGUCCGGAUUGACUGGGCGUAAAGCGCACGCAGGCGGUUUGGCGCGUGGGGUGUGAAAUCUGGCCGCUUAACGGCCAGGCGCCAUCCCAUACGGCUAGACUGGAGUGAUGCAGAGGUCGGUGGAAUUGCCGGUGUAGUGGUGAAAUGCGUAGAGAUCGGCAGGAACACCCAGGGGGGAAACCAGCCGAG